rnacentral:rRNA from 1 species
GAUGAACGCUAGCUACAGGCUUAACACAUGCAAGUCGAGGGGCAGCGGGAUUGAAGCUUGCUUCAAUUGCCGGCGACCGGCGCACGGGUGAGUAACGCGUAUCCAACCUUCCGUACACUCAGGGAUAGCCUUUCGAAAGAAAGAUUAAUACCUGAUGGUAUCUUAAGCACACAUGUAAUUAAGAUUAAAGAUUUAUCGGUGUACGAUGGGGAUGCGUUCCAUUAGGUAGUAGGCGGGGUAACGGCCCACCUAGCCAACGAUGGAUAGGGGUUCUGAGAGGAAGGUCCCCCCACAUUGGAACUGAGACACGGUCCAAACUCCUACGGGAGGCAGCAGUGAGGAAUAUUGGUCAAUGGACGAGAGUCUGAACCAGCCAAGUAGCGUGCAGGAAGACGGCCCUAUGGGUGUAAACUGCUUUUAUAAGGGAAUAAAGUGAGUCUCGUGAGACUUUUUGCAUGUACCUUAUGAAUAAGGACCGNUAAUCCGUG